GGAGUCAGGUUAUAUAAACCAUUAACAAUACUAAAGCGUAGUAUUAAUCCAAACAAGUGUAAGAGAGCAUGAUAUCACAAACAGUCUUUUUCAGAAUCACAUUUUGAAUUUAUUUUUCGUUCUUUUUGUUUCUUUCUUUGUUUUUCCUGGAGAACUCCUCCAGAUAAGAACUUGAGUUGAAGUGACAGAUCAGAUGUGCCUUUCCAAAGUACCUUGUUAUUAUAUUGCUUUUCAUAAAUAUAGGUCCUUAUUUUGUCCCUUUUAGUCUGUCACAAGAUUUUGAAUUUCUCUUUCUUACUGAAAGUGCAGUGAUUAAAAGAUUAAAAUGCAGAGUGGAGUCCACAGAACUCCUUCAAAGUUAUAUACAGAAGAAUUCUGAGGUCUUCAGGAGUAUCUAACACACACACAAAAAAUCCAUUAAGGAAUUACACCAUAAAAAUUAGUCUUUCUCACAUUUAAUUCCUUUGUAAAGCUAAAGCUAAAUCUAAGUGAUUAACAGUUCUAGAGCUGUUUAUUCUUGGAAAUGUAAAGGAGCCAUUCCAAGGCUCAGUCUACUCUUUUAGCCACCUGGCCACUGAUAACAAAUAAAAGCACUUUCAUGGUGGUUUUGUGCAAAGAAUUUGUUCUUUCACAGCAAGGGGCCAUAAAGAGCAUCCUUUUCUGUAGUGUGAUGUAUUGUAUUUCUGUAAUGCUAAAAAAAUCACAUUGUUGUUUCCCUGUAAGUUAAAUUACCCACUGAGUGCUAUGUAUUCCCUUUGGCAUAGUUUGAAAGUGCUGAACCAUUUAAAAGAUAAAUGGAAAAAUUCUGUUGUAAAUGCUCUCUGCUUAUUUCAGGUCCCUGUAGCCCAAGAAGGUAGUUAAAAAGGCAAAAUAAGUCAUUUUUGCCAGUGUACUUAUAGACUGUAUUUCACUUCUCAGUAAAUCCAAAAUCUGUGUGUGUGAUGAAACGUUAUUUAACAACCACUGGAAAUAAGAUUAAUUGGAGGCUGAUGACAUAUAAAAUAUUUCAGAUGUUUUUAAUACAAGUGAAUACAGUGGAGGUACUUGGAAGACAGUCACAACCAUAAAUCUUUAACAUCAUGUCAUAGAUGCAGUAUCCCUGGGAAACAUUCUACAAGAUUAUGAGGAAAAACAUGUUGGCUUUGAGGAGCACAGGUGCACCAGAUGGUAUCAACAAAGAAAAUCUAGUAGUUGCUCACGUGGGAAGGAAAGGCUUUGAAUGGAUUCAUCAGCUUCUCUUACCCACCUUCAUUAACAGCUGUGGCUUUGGCUUGCUGUAUUCUUCAGAUACAUGUAAUAGUUCCAACAAAAAGGAGAAGCAAAAUCAACUGGUAAUAAAGAUUCAUCUUCCUGCUCCUGAGAAAGAAGAGACACUGCACCACUUCUUGACUCCUAUAUCAACGUGCAGAUACAUUUCAGAACACCUACAGGUUUGCAAUUUAGAGGGACUGGUUUGUAUUUCAUCUUAGUAUUUCUGUAAUUAUGACAGAAAAAUCAGUCCUAUUGUAUUAAUCCCAAAUAGAAUAAAAAUCAAUCAUUGGAACCAGUCUGCAAAUUGAAAUAAUGAUCUCUUUUUGUCCCAAAUCUAUGCCAAAAUACUGCUGUCAUUUAUUAUAAUGUCCUUGUACAGUUGCAUUUUAAUAGUUCCUGGCUUCUUUCUAGUUAUUUCCACAAUUUUAAGCAUGUUAUGUCACAGUUAGUGAUCUGCACUAUCCAAUAUAUCCGCUGCCCGAAAAAGUUUUCAUAUGUUACAAUACAAUACAGCCUGAGCCUGGUGUAGUAGAGUGGCACGUGCUAGCUAUCAUCUGAUGCUGUGGAGAGAGAAUAAGAUGUUGUUUCCAAAGGGAAUAAUGCUGCUCGGUUCAGAAUUAGAUACAGUAUAAUUUAGGUAAAAGAAACUGAAUAUAUAAAUGUGUCACAGAACAAAACAGUCUCUCAAAGUUAGCUCUGAAAAAUGCUUGACUAUGUUCAAAGCAACAGACAUCACAGUAUUUUUGUCUGGUUGUUUUUUUCAUCUUAAAGAUAUGUUUUGUGGCCUUUUUUUGCUAGUUGUUGACCUUCUACUAUUUUCACAGGAUUGUAACUGUGUGGGGAUUUUUUACAUCUGGGAUGCAAGGACAAAAAGUUUUGGUUUUGACUGUCUUACAAGGUUUUUUGUUUAUUUCAUCUCAUGAAGGGCCAUUUCCUACUGGCUUUUUCUAAGCUGUUUUUAAAAUUAACCUCCUUCAAUUUUUUAAAUUCAUGAAGUUUGACAAAUUCAUUAUUAAUAUUCAAUACCACACUUUUAAAUUUAAAAGCUGUUGUAAUAAAGGCAAAUAUAAAUCUUGUCCAGGGAUUUACUAGAGCACUGUUCUGAACUGCUCGUUUGAAAUGAGGAACAGUCCAGAACUGUGUCUUAGUGAAUCAUGUGCUCAUUGCAAAUGAGGAGAAUAAUUCAUCUUAAUAUUGUAAAUUUCAGCAUAGUGCUCCAAAACCAAAUCCAGCUCUGUAAUCCCAACAGAUUACAAGGAGGAAGAGCUGGGACAUAUGUGAAUUUAGGGGACUUAGUGUAGGAGGGUAUUCACAUGGAGAUGUUGUACUAGCCAGCCACAGAAUACUAUUACCCAGCAUCUAAGAGGUCAAACUUCCUGAGGAAGGAAGGGAAGUAAAACACAAUUUGGGAACAAGUUGUGUAAAAUAGCUAUGCUUGAUGCUAUCAUCUAACCAUUUCCCUCCAACAGGGCAGCUCUGAUAUGUGUCAAGUGGAACUUUUAUACCUGCAGAAAACUGAGACCUUGGUUAUGCUUGGCACAGAAUUUAUUCAACAUGUUACUCAGCUCCUAAAUGUCAAGGAAAUUUGUACAUUGUACCUCACGCACAGGAAGGCUGCCAGGAAGGUUGUGGGUCUCGGCAUUCAAUUCUAUAUUUUGAUCCAAGCAGUCAUAGCAACAGGAAAAUAGAUGUCUGAUGAAAGAGCAAUUACGAGACAGUAGGCUAUUCAUUUUGCUGGAAAUAAAAAAAAUAGAAUAAAACCAGAGUGGGGUGCAAAUUGAGCUUGGCACUUCAGUUAGCAUAUCCAGCGGUUUCAAAUAAAUAUGAUUUUUAUAAACUGGUGGAUUGGCUGACAGUAUCCAUUAGCUCCAUACAGCAAAUCAUUACACUUUGUUGUUAUUGCAAAGUAGUUUAAAAUGUUGACGUUUCAAAUGAAAGACAGGAAAGGAAAUGUUUUGAAUAAAAGGAGGAGGGAGAACUGUAGACGUGCUGAGCCUCUUCCCACCAGAAGAAGUGGUGGACAUUUUAUUAAGAAGCCACGCACUGAGUAGAAAAGUGGGUAUGUGCGUGACAUGGCACAGGGACAGA